rnacentral:misc_RNA from 1 species
GUAGUUUGGUGCUCCCAUAAUCGCAUCAAUUACCCUACCUAAUAUCCCUAAUUUGUCGCAUGCAUCAAAUCCACUGGGAGUGCCCAUCCUUCCUCCAAUGCCUCUCAGUCUCACUGCUACAUCUCUCUAAAGUAUCCUAGUAACACUAACCCUCUCUUCCCUUUAUCCCUUAAUUACUAAGAACCCCCUGCAUCUACAGUCUCUAUUAUUAUGUUACGUUUAACCACUUUAGACUUAGUUAAAAAACACUGGUUUAAUACAUGUCUUUUUGAUAUCUUUG